UCCUACGGGAGGCAGCAGUGGGGAAUUUUGGACAAUGGGCGAAAGCCUGAUCCAGCAAUGCCGCGUGUGUGAAGAAGGCCUUCGGGUUGUAAAGCACUUUUGUCCGGAAAGAAAUGGCUCUGGUUAAUACCUGGGGUCGAUGACGGUACCGGAAGAAUAAGGACCGGCUAACUACGUGCCAGCAGCCGCGGUAAUACGUAGGGUCCAAGCGUUAACCGGAAUUACUGGGCGUAAAGCGUGCGCAGGCGGUUGUGCAAGACCGAUGUGAAAUCCCCGAGCUUAACUUGGGAAUUGCAUUGGUGACUGCACGGCUAGAGUGUGUCAGAGGGGGGUAGAAUUCCACGUGUAGCAGUGAAAUGCGUAGAGAUGUGGAGGAAUACCGAUGGCGAAGGCAGCCCCCUGGGAUAACACUGACGCUCAUGCACGAAAGCGUGGGGAGCAAACAGGAUUAGAUACCCUGGUAGUCCACGCCCUAAACAAUGUCAACUAGUUGUUGGGGAUUCAUUUCCUUAGUAACGUAGCUAACGCGUGAAGUUGACCGCCUGGGGAGUACGGUCGCAAGAUUAAAACUCAAAGG
rnacentral:rRNA from 1 species